CUAGAGUUGGUAAUGGUAGCGUUGGUAAUGCUAGCAUAGGUAAUGCUAGAGUUGGUCAUGCUAGCAUAGUUAAUGCUAGCGUUGGUAAUGCUAGCGUACUUAAUGCUAGCGUAGUUAAUGCUAGCGUAGGUAAUGCUAGAGUUGGUAAUGCUAGUACAGUUAAUGCUAGCGUUGGUAAUGCUAGCGUUGUUAAUGCUAGCCUAGGUAAUGCUUGCGUUGGUAAUGCUAGCGUAGGUAUUAGGAAUGUAGAAGCAGCAAGAUGUAUUCAGCACUCUGCAGACCCCACCACGCUCAGCAGUGAGAAUAUCUAGAAUCAGACGGUUCUAGAUAACGACUUCCCCUCAUUCAAGUUCGUUCUUAAUCGAAGUUAAUGCUUCCUCCGGAUCGUGAGGGGAGGAUGUGUGAAAAGCUUAAAGAAAGAAACGAGGAAAACAAGAAAGAACCUGAAACUAAGCAAGAAUUUCUGAACGGAAAGGAAGAUAGACUAUAAACCGAUUCAGUUUGUGUAAUCAUUCACUGUGAGUGACGACAGGAAGAGUUUUUUCCCCUCCGGCAUUAAAUGCAACUAUAAAUGGAUAAAAAGUGUGUUGUGUUGAUUGAUGAGUGAGUAAAACUUUGGUGGGGUAUGAAAGGAGUAAAACACUUCGGGGAGGCGUUACUCAG
ensembl:lncRNA